rnacentral:lncRNA from 1 species
GGGGAACAGAAGUGCCAAUCAACAGGCAGAACCAAUCAGGUGAGAAAAGUCCAGCCUUUUGGUGCAGUAUAUAAGCUCAGGUAGUUUCUUUGGAGUUAUCCCCUUUUUGACCAGUUCUUUUGAAUAAGGGUCUCCAGAGAGUUUGNCAAAAUGAAGGUCUUUACCCUGGCAAUCUUGCUAGUCAGCGUCUAUUGCNUGGAAGGUGCGAAUGUGAAGCGGCAGGCUCAGNCUCAGGCCGAGGCUGAGCCUUCAGAGCAGGAUAUCCAACAGGCAGUCCAAAGCUACCUCCAGUCAGUGUCCCAGUUCUUCACGGAGGACUUGGCGAAGCAGGCAAAACUUGAGGACCUGAAAACCCAGGCUGAGGCAUUUAUCCGGCAGGCCCAUGGCCACCUGGCUCCGCUCGCCGAACAACUUAGGGAAAGGGCGGCUCAGUUUUUCAGUNCCAUUGCAGAGAGUAUUCCGAAGAAAAGUUAGUGCAGCACAGGAGUCAUUUGGGAACNCCCACACUUUCCAGUUGCAAUAAAAACAACGUACACCUUAUGCUUUACCCA